rnacentral:lncRNA from 1 species
CCCUCGGCCUCAAGCUGUGCCCCAACUUCGUCCCAGUCGAUCCCCAACUUCUCUAGUGCACUGUAAAUUCCCUCAGCCUCCGAGAUGUUUGAAUCAAUGGUCCUCGAGACGACACCGUGAUCCAUAAAGGCUUCAAGAGCCUGGUCGGGCAUGGUCGAAACCUGGAACCACAUCAAAAUAUAGGAAUGUAAUGCCAGGAACAUUGUGCUAUACCCAUAAAUUUGAAGUUAAAAACUCCGGAUGCACCCAUAGCUGAAGUUCCAUGUUUGAUGAAAUUUCAUAUAGCCAGAUAAUAAUACAUUGGUCAAACCAUGCCUAAGAGUAAAAAAUAUAACCAAUUGUAUGGUAGGUGUGGUGGCAAGACAAUGACACACAAGUUGCACUUUGCCUAAAACUCCCACCAAAGCAACUCAAAUCCAUGCUCUAUGAUCAUGAAUCAUUAAAUUUCUUGGUGUCCUUUAUUAUUACCAUGGUAAGCACCAACAUACACCUCUGAUUAGACUAUUAUGCUCAGAUAGAUUUCACCAUUGGGAGUUCAAUCGGUAAAGCUCUUUUUCUUUUUGUUUGAAAUAAUUUAGAAAUACGUUGUAGUAACUAACCGUGUCAGGUCCAAUAAGAGGAUCGACGUAAAGAGUGUCAGGAUAUGCAGGAUUCUUAACACUGGUCGAGGCCCAUAAUAACCUCUGCUUUUUGGCACCCUUCUUUACCAAAGCCUCCCAACGUGGACCAGAAAAUUUCUUUUGAUACAGCUUAUAAGCUAGAGUUGCUUGAGCUACAGCUGCCUGCGGGGUUCCAACAUAGAGAAGGUAAGCAUCAGAAAAGGUAAGCAUCUUUGUUAGUCUUCUCAUUUUAGAAGCCACCGGCAACAGAGAGUUUACCUUUCCUCGGAGAUCAAGAGCUUCAGGUGUUCCAAUCUUUUCUAGCAUUUUAUCAACGAGAGUGUCAACACGACUGACAAAGAAGGAAGCCACACUGGUCACCUUAGAAAGGUCACUGAGCCCAGAAGACUCGAGACCAUCCAAAUAAGCAUCGAUCACAG